rnacentral:rRNA from 1 species
UGGGGAAUAUUGGACAAUGGGGGGAACCCUGAUCCAGCCAUGCCGCGUGUGUGAAGAAGGCCUUAUGGUUGUAAAGCACUUUAAGCGAGGAGGAGGCUACUUUAGUUAAUACCUAGAGAUAGUGGACGUUACUCGCAGAAUAAGCACCGGUUAACUCUGUGCCAGCAGCCGCGGUAAUACAGAGGGUGCAAGCGUUAAUCGGAUUUACUGGGCGUAAAGCGCGCGUAGGCGGCUAAUUAAGUCAAAUGUGAAAUCCCCGAGCUUAACUUGGGAAUUGCAUUCGAUACUGGUUAGCUAGAGUGUGGGAGAGGAUGGUAGAAUUCCAGGUGUAGCGGUGAAAUGCGUAGAGAUCUGGAGGAAUACCGAUGGCGAAGGCAGCCAUCUGGCCUAACACUGACGCUGAGGUGCGAAAGCAUGGGGAGCAAACAGG